CCACAGUAUGCUCUUUGUCUCCUGCCUGAAACCCAACUGACCCUGAUAAGCUUUUAUGAUCCUAGUUUUAUGAUGAGGAAAGGAACAUUCACAGGCCCAAUAUCACAGAGUCCUAACAAGCAUCAGGAUUUAACCUCAGAUAUCAUCACUCCAAGGACCAAUCCUUCCUCAGCUUCCCAUUCCAGAACCGGCAAAUGCAGCUGGCAGUUCUUCUCUGCUGGAAAAGACAGCCCUUCAGAGUUCAGCCCUGCGUUCUCCAGAGUGGCCAGGAGUGGGAGGUACUCAGGGACCAUUGACUGA
ensembl:lncRNA